rnacentral:rRNA from 1 species
UGGGGAAUAUUGGUCAAUGGGGGGAACCCUGAACCAGCGACGCCGCGUGAGGGAAGAAGGUUUUCGGAUUGUAAACCUCUGUCCUCGGGGAAGAAACAAAUGACGGUACCCGGGGAGGAAGCCACGGCUAACUACGUGCCAGCAGCCGCGGUAAUACGUAGGUGGCAAGCGUUGUCCGGAAUUACUGGGUGUAAAGGGAGCGUAGGCGGGUACGCAAGUUGAAUGUUAAAUCUACAGGCUUAACCUGUAGCCGCGUUCAAAACUGCGUAUCUUGAGUGAAGUAGAGGCAGGCGGAAUUCCUAGUGUAGCGGUGAAAUGCGUAGAUAUUAGGAGGAACACCAGUGGCGAAGGCGGCCUGCUGGGCUUUUACUGACGCUGAGGCUCGAAAGUGUGGGGAGCAAACA